AGUGAACGCUGGCGGUAGGCCUAACACAUGCAAGUCGAACGGCAGCACAGUAAGAGCUUGCUCUUACGGGUGGCGAGUGGCGGACGGGUGAGGAAUACAUCGGAAUCUACUUUUUCGUGGGGGAUAACGUAGGGAAACUUACGCUAAUACCGCAUACGACCUACGGGUGAAAGCAGGGGAUCUUCGGACCUUGUGCGAUUGAAUGAGCCGAUGUCGGGUUAGCUAGUUGGCGGGGUAAAGGCCCACCAAGGCGACGAUCCGUAGCUGGUCUGAGAGGAUGAUCAGCCACACUGGAACUGAGACACGGUCCAGACUCCUACGGGAGGCAGCAGUGGGGAAUAUUGGACAAUGGGCGCAAGCCUGAUCCAGCCAUACCGCGUGUGUGAAGAAGGCCUUCGGGUUGUAAAGCCCUUUUGUUGGGAAAGAAAAGCAGCAGGUUAAUACCCCGCUGUUCUGACGGUACCCAAAGAAUAAGCACCGGCUAACUUCGUG
rnacentral:rRNA from 1 species